rnacentral:sRNA from 2 species
AAGAAACUAACAAGGAUUCCCCUAGUAGCGGCGAGCGAAGCGGGAAGAGCUCAAAUUUAUAAUCUGGCACCUUCGGUGUCCGAGUUGUAAUCUCUAGAAAUGUUUUCCGCGUUGGACCGCACACAAGUCUGUUGGAAUACAGCGGCAUAGUGGUGAGACCCCCGUAUAUGGUGCGGACGCCCAGCGCUUUGUGAUACAUUUUCGAAGAGUCGAGUUGUUUGGGAAUGCAGCUCAAAUUGGGUGGUAAAUUCCAUCUAAAGCUAAAUAUUGGCGAGAGACCGAUAGCGAACAAGUACCGUGAGGGAAAGAUGAAAAGCACUUUGGAAAGAGAGUUAACAGUACGUGAAAUUGUUGGAAGGGAAACGCUUGAAGUCAGACUUGCUUGCCGAGCAAUCGGUUUGCAGGCCAGCAUCAGUUUUCCGGGAUGGAUAAUGGUAGAGAGAAGGUAGCAGUUUCGGCUGUGUUAUAGCUCUCUGCUGGAUACAUCUUGGGGGACUGAGGAACGCAGUGUGCCUUUGGCGGGGGUUUCGACCUCUUCACACUUAGGAUGCUGGUG